AGAGUUUGAUCCUGGCUCAGGACGAACACUGGCGGCGUGCCUAAUACAUGCAAGUCGAGCGGACGGAUGGGAGCUUGCUCCCUGAAGUCAGCGGCGGACGGGUGAGUAACACGUGGGCAACCUGCAUGUAAGACUGGGAUAACUCCGGGAAACCGGGGCUAAUACCGGAUAACGCUUUUCCUCACAUGAGGAAAAGCUGAAAGAUGGUUUCGGCUAUCACUUACAGAUGGGCCCGCGGCGCAUUAGCUAGUUGGUGAGGUAACGGCUCACCAAGGCCACGAUGCGUAGCCGACCUGAGAGGGUGAUCGGCCACACUGGGACUGAGACACGGCCCAGACUCCUACGGGAGGCAGCAGUAGGGAAUCUUCCGCAAUGGACGAAAGUCUGACGGAGCAACGCCGCGUGAGUGAUGAAGGUUUUCGGAUCAUAAAACUCUGUUGUCAGGGAAGAACAAGUACCGGAGUAACUGCCGGUACCUUGACGGUACCUGACCAGAAAGCCACGGCUAACUACGUGCCAGCAGCCGCGGUAAUACGUAGGUGGCAAGCGUUGUCCGAAAUUAUUGGGCGUAAAGCGCGCGCAGGCGGUUCCUUAAGUCUGAUGUGAAAGCCC
rnacentral:rRNA from 1 species